rnacentral:sRNA from 1 species
GGAUACCAGGACAUUCUGGCUGCAGCAUCUGUUGCCCAUUGAUCACCAGGGUUGAUUCAGCUGAUCUGACUAGGUAGGUGGGUAUUCCUUUCCUCCCUCAACACUCCUUGUGUGUCUCCCAAGGCUUCAAGCUCUGGAGAAUAGGACAGGAGCUCCCCAUAGAAGAGGACCAGUCUUCAGUCGAGGGUACACCUGUAGCUGUGCCCCCCCCCACUAAAACCUCCAGUCAAGCUCUUAAGAAUGCACCCCUAAAAUCCCAGCACUCAGGA